rnacentral:rRNA from 1 species
AUUGAACGCUAGCGGCAGGCCUAACACAUGCAAGUCGAACGGAGCGGCGGACGGGUGAGUAAUGCCUCGGCAUCUGCCUGGUAGCGGGGGAUAACGUCCGGAAACGGGUGCUAAUACCGCAUACUAUCGGAGCGGCCUAGGUCGGAUUAGCUAGUUGGUGGGGUAAAGGCCUACCAAGGCGACGAUCCGUAGCUGGUCUGAGAGGAGGAUCAGUCCCACUGGAACUGAGACACGGUCCAGACUCCUACGGGCGGCAGCAGUGGGGAAUAUUGGACAAUGGGCGAAAGCCUGAUCCAGCCAUCCCGCGUGUGUGAAGAAGGUCUUCGGAUUGUAAAGCACUUUUGGCUGGAAGGCGGUACCAUCAGAAUAAGCACCGGCUAACUUCGUGCCAGCAGCCGCGGUAAUUC